rnacentral:rRNA from 1 species
GAUGAACGCUGGCGGCGUGCUUAACACAUGCAAGUCGAACGUGAGAGGGUAGCAAUAUUCUUGAAAGUGGCGCACGGGUGAGUAAUACGUAGGUAACCUGCCUUGGAGUGGGGGAUAACAGUUGGAAACGACUGCUAACACUGCAUAUUGCUGGGCUGUCGGGAGACGGCACAGUGAAAACUCUGGUGCUUCAAGAGGGGCCUGCGGCCGAUUAGCUAGUUGGCGGGGUAAGAGCCCACCAAGGCGACGAUCGGUAGCUGGUCUGAGAGGACGAUCAGCCACACGGGAACUGAGACACGGUCCCGACUCCUACGGGAGGCAG